rnacentral:rRNA from 1 species
ACGGGAGGCAGCAGUGGGGAAUAUUGGUCAAUGGGGGCAACCCUGAACCAGUGACGCCGCGUGAGUGAAGAAGUAUUUCGGUAUGUAAAGCUCUAUCAGCAGGGAAGAUAAUGACGGUACCUGACUAAGAAGCACCGGCUAAAUACGUGCCAGCAGCCGCGGUAAUACGUAUGGUGCAAGCGUUAUCCGGAUUUACUGGGUGUAAAGGGUGCGUAGGUGGCAUGGCAAGUCAGAUGUGAAAGACCGGGGCUCAACUCCGGGGCUGCAUUUGAAACUGCCAGGCUGGAGUACAGGAGAGGCAGGCGGAAUUCCUAGUGUAGCGGUGAAAUGCGUAGAUAUUGGGAGGAACACCAGUGGCGAAGGCGGCCUGCUGGACUGUUACUGACACUGAGGCACGAAAGCGUGGGGAGCAAACAGGAUUAGAUACCCUGGUA